UCAUCAUUACCAAAAUUUUCUAAUCCAGAAUAUGUUAGGGUCUUUGAGUUGACACUAAUACUCUGACUUCGAGAUGAAGGUAAUGGCAAUAUACCCUGGUUUCUUAAGAAAUUAAAUAACUCAGAGCUACCUCAUCAUAAUGAAAGUACCAGCCAUUAGUACUCUCAAUGGGCCACAACAAUUGUCGCUUGCAUUUAAGACUACCAUUAUCAAGAUUGUCUUCUGUCGAUCUUUUGUUUGAAACCUAAAUGUUUUAUUUCCACAUGUAACUUUAUUUGUAACUUUCAUUUAAUAAUAAAUUACCUGUUUACAUAAUAAA